GCUAAUUUUUCAAUAAUCAAAACAUCUGAAGUUUGAAGUUGUGAAAAGGGAAGAAAAGAGGACAGGUGGCCGGGUUUGUAGGAUUUACAAGAAAAAAUACUACACAAUGCAAGGCACGGCAGCCUCUGUUGUGGCACGGCGGCCAAACACA